UUUGUAUGAUGAUCAAAGGUUUUUAAUUUAACAGUUCUGCUUCUGAAUUAUAUUGAAGAAACCGUUACCAGCUUACCAAUGUCUGAUUU
rnacentral:snoRNA from 1 species